rnacentral:rRNA from 1 species
UACGUAGGUGGCAAGCGUUGUCCGGAAUUAUUGGGCGUAAAGCGCGCGCAGGCGGCCUCUUAAGUCUGAUGUGAAAGCCCCCGGCUCAACCGGGGAGGGCCAUUGGAAACUGGUAGGCUUGAGUAUAGGAGAGAAGAGUGGAAUUCCACGUGUAGCGGUGAAAUGCGUAGAGAUGUGGAGGAACACCAGUGGCGAAGGCGACUCUUUGGCCUAUAACUGACGCUGAGGCGCGAAAGCGUGGGGAGCAAACAGGA